rnacentral:rRNA from 1 species
AUAGAUACCCCACUAUGCUUAGUCGUAAACCUUAAUUUACACCAAAAUCGCCAGGGAACUACGAGCCACGCUUAAAACCCAAAGGACUUGACGGCACCUCACAUCCAACUAGAGGAGCCUGUCCUAUAAUCGAUAGUCCCCGUUCAACCUCACCCCUCCUAGCCUUUCAGUUUGUAUACUUCCGUAGUAAGCCUACCACAUGAGUGGUACUCAGUGGGCUAAUCGCUCAAUUCGCAUAAACAUCAGGUCAAGGUGCAGCAAAUGGAGGGGGAAGAGAUGGGCUACAUUCUCUAGCAUAGAGCAUACGAAUGACUGUGAUGAAACCCAGUCUGAAGGCGGAUUUAGAAGUAAAGAGAAAUUAGAGUGCUCUCUUUAAUACUGCACUAAGGUGUGUACACACCGCCCGUCACCCUCCUCGAAGCCUACAGAUCAGUAACUAACAACUAACAGCACAAGAGAGGAGGUAAGUCGUAACAAG